rnacentral:rRNA from 1 species
UACGAAGGGUGCAAGCGUUACUCGGAAUUACUGGGCGUAAAGCGUGCGUAGGCGGUCUGUUAAGUCCGUUGUGAAAGCCCUGGGCUCAACCUGGGAAUUGCAGUGGAUACUGGCGGGCUAGAGUGCGGUAGAGGAUGGUGGAAUUCCCGGUGGUAGCGGUGAAAUGCGUAGAGAUCGGGAGGAACACCCGUGGCGAAGGCGGCCAUCUGGACCAGCACGUGACGCUGAGGCACGAAAGCGUGGGGAGCAAACAGG